UAUGAAAAGCUCUAUUUUGUGACUUAUUAUUUGAGUAUAAAACACAAAUAAAUCAUCAUUUGAUUUGAUUCAAUAAGACCGUUAGCUAAUGCACUAUGCGUGUCUUAGGAUAUUCAUCUCAUGUUCGUACAUGAAAAUAUUGCAUUUAACUCAACCAUAGCUUAAUGGUAAGAACAUUUACUUAUGGAUGAGUGACCUCAAAUUCAAACUCCAAAGACACUUCCCCUAACCCCUUCUAAACUUUGGCAUUUUUUUAUAUAUAAAAAAACUCAUAGAUAUUGAUAGUAAGG
rnacentral:lncRNA from 1 species